UCUCAUUCCUAAAUUCAUCUCACUUUCAAUUUGUGACCUGGAACUGCAACUGGAACUGCAGACUAUAAAGAAUGGCUUCUCAGAUGUUGAGGCUGUGGAUUAUGAAUUUGCCAGAGAUGCUAAUGCUAACUCUUCUCACUCCAUGUGGAACCAUGGUUUUCCAGACACACUGUCAGCCCAGCAGUCAGUUCUCAGUCUUGCAGAUGGACAUGUGUCUUCACCCUUAGUUUUCUGAUCACGUCUGCAUCUCCCAUUCCUUCUCUUUCUCUGAAUCAAAGGUGACACACAAACUUAGUGGAAAAAAGAUCCCACAAACUAAGACCUUGUAGAAGAAAAGGAAGCAGCCAAGAAAUUCAAGGUAUUUGUAACAUUGCCAAGCUUCAAUCAUUUGGGAUAAAAUUUUCCAUCUUAGGUGUCUCCAUUUGACAAGUUUUAAAUUUUUUGUUUGUUUGUUUUGGGUAUAUUACAGUAAAAAUAACUUGACUGCUUUCAAGGACAAGGCUAUGGAAAAAGAAGUUUUGUCCAUGUGAACUGACUCCAGUGACCUUAAACUGAGUGUUUCACAUUUCAGAUUAAAACCUAGGACAGAGGGAGGAGUGAGCACACUUCAUAUCAAGGAUGUGCCUUUUGGCAUCUCUCUGAAAUCUGACCCUAGUUGAUUAAAUUUCAUACUAUUGGGGGGUGGAGAGGAGUGUGUGGAGAAGGAAGUUCACACAUGUUCAGUAGAUCAAGAUUUUAACAGUUUAAUUCUGCAAAGUUGUCACCCCUAAGAGGCUGAACAUGAUGUUAUCAUGACUUGAGCUGCAAGUGCAAAUUCUGAGCACCUAAACUAAGGUCAACAAACACUUCGUUGGGUUUCCCAAUGAUUCCCCUUGAUUUAGAGAGUUAAAAGUAGAGGAGAAAAGAACUUGGUCAGAGAGAAGGGACCAACUGUGAUGAGAGUAAGUCACAGGAUACUACUGAGUGGGAUGGAAAGAGAUAAGAUAGGCUACGAAAACAGUACACAGGGCAAAGAUAAAGAUUGUCGAUAAAAUCGUAACUGAUGAAGUAAAGACAGGUUUGCAUAAGAAGGUUGAGAGAUUUGAUAGAAGACCAACUGCCAUCUCAAAUUUUAACAUUUCAUAGCCUCACCUCAUAGUAUUAAUUUUUAAAAUACAUCUUCAUUGUAAUUGCUUGUAGAGAUGAGACAAUUAUAUUACAUAUAGCUCUUCACUCUCCUUCAGACUAAACCUCAACUUAUUUUUCUGCUGAGGUGAGAAAAUUUGAUGAGAAAAUAUGAAUUGCUUCCAGUUAACUUCUAAGAUAAAUAUCUUUCAGAAAUUACAAGAAAUGUUACUUAACAAACAAAUGUCCAAACACUCAGAAUUACUGUAAAUUACUUUAUUUCAAUAACUGAAAAUGGGCAAGUACUCUAAAUGAUAUAAAUUACUUUUAAACCUGAGCAUUUCAGGUUUAAAGGACAUAAACACUUCAAUGCAAUGCCUUGCAAAUAAUUUUAGAACAAGAAGUGUAGGGCAGCAUAAUUCAAAUAGAUUCAAUUUCAGACACUGACCUCACCAAGAAAUACCCCACACUUAAGUAAAAAGAAAGUGCUUGGCUCUGGUUUAAAAUCUCCAUUGCUGUUUGGUACUCAGUUAUCCAUGACAGAGAAGUCUGUGCCAAAACUGAUUCAAGUGUUCAAACCAGCACCAGUGUGAGGAUAAAGGUACCUUUCAGUCAGCCCAGUGUUAAUCAUCCUUUUUGUUCUCAGAGACAGCUUUAAAUCCUGUAUUUCUAAUAAUUUUUCUGAUCUUGACCUCAGCAAGAUCAAUUUUUGGACUCUGAGUGAGAUCU